rnacentral:rRNA from 1 species
AACGAACGCUGGCGGCGUGCCUAAUACAUGCAAGUCGAGCGAGAAAGCCUCUUCGGAGGUGAGUAAAGCGGCGCACGGGUGAGUAACACGUGGGCAACCUACCCUUGAGUCUGGGAUAACCCGGGGAAACUCGGGCUAAUACCAGAUACGGCUGCGGGGUCUUCGGAUCCUGUGGAGAAAGAUGGCCUCUUCUUGAAAGCUAUCUCUCGAGGAUGGGCCCGCGUCCUAUUAGCUAGNGGUGAGGUAACGGCUCACCAAGGCAAAGAUGGGUAGCUGGUCUGAGAGGAUGGCCAGCCACACUGGAACUGAGACACGGUCCAGACUCCUAC